GUUUCACUUUAGCAGCACAUACUAAAAUUGGAAUAAUGCAGAGAUUAGCAUGACUCUCGCAUAAGGAUGAUGCACUUAUUAACGAAGCACUCCUAAAAAAA
ensembl:snRNA U6 U6 spliceosomal RNA